GUAGGUGGCAAGCGUUGUCCGGAAUUAUUGGGCGUAAAGCGCGCGCAGGCGGUUCUUUAAGUCUGAUGUGAAAGCCCACGGCUCAACCGUGGAGGGUCAUUGGAAACUGGAGAACUUGAGUACAGAAGAGGAAGGCGGAAUUCCACGUGUAGCGGUGAAAUGCGUAGAGAUGUGGAGGAACACCAGUGGCGAAGGCGGCUUUCUGGUCUGUAACUGACGCUGAGGCGCGAAAGCGUGGGGAGCAAACAGGAUUAGAUACCCUGGUAGUCCACGCCGUAAACGAUGAGUGCUAAGUGUUAGGGGGGUUUCCGCCCCCCUUAGUGCUGCAGCUAACGCAUUAAGCACUCCGCCUGGGAGUACGGCCGCAAGGCUG
rnacentral:rRNA from 1 species